rnacentral:rRNA from 1 species
UACGGAGGGUGCAAGCGUUAUCCGGAUUUACUGGGUUUAAAGGGUGCGUAGGCGGAUAGGUAAGUCAGGGGUGAAAUCUUCGAGCUUAACUCGGAAAUUGCCUUUGAUACUAUUUAUCUUGAAUAUUGUGGAGGUAAGCGGAAUAUGUCAUGUAGCGGUGAAAUGCUUAGAUAUGACAUAGAACACCCAUUGCGAAGGCAGCUUACUACGCAUAUAUUGACGCUGAGGCACGAAAGCGUGGGGGAUCAAAACAGG